AGGACGAACGCUGGCGGCGUGCUUAACACAUGCAAGUCGAACGAUGAUGUGGUGCUUGCACCAUGGAUUAGUGGCGAACGGGUGAGUAAGACGUGAGUAACCUGCCCUUGACUCUGGGAUAAGCCUGGGAAACUGGGUCUAAUACUGGAUAUGACCUCUCCUCGCAUGGGGGGUGGUGGAAAGCCUUCGGGUGGUUUUGGAUGGACUCACGGCCUAUCAGCUUGUUGGUGGGGUAAUGGCUCACCAAGGCGACGACGGGUAGCCGGCCUGAGAGGGUGACCGGCCACACUGGGACUGAGACACGGCCCAGACUCCUACGGGAGGCAGCAGUGGGGAAUAUUGCACAAUGGGCGAAAGCCUGAUGCAGCGACGCCGCGUGAGGGAUGACGGCCUUCGGGUUGUAAACCUCUUUCAGCAGGGAACAAGGUCAGGCUUUUGUCUGGUUGAGGGUACUUGCAGAAGAAGCGCCGGCUAACUACGUGCCAGCAGCCGCGGUAAUACGUAGGGCGCAAGCGUUGUCCGGAAUUAUUGGGCGUAAAGAGCUCGUAGGCGGUUUGUCGCGUCUGCUGUGAAAGCCCGGGGCUUAACCCCGGGUCUGCAGUGGGUACGGGCAGACUAGAGUGCAGUAGGGGAGACUGGAAUUCCUGGUGUAGCGGUGAAAUGCGCAGAUAUCAGGAGGAACACCGAUGGCGAAGGCAGGUCUCUGGGCUGUUACUGACGCUGAGGAGCGAAAGCAUGGGGAGCGAACAGGAUUAGAUACCCUGGUAGUCCAUGCCGUAAACGUUGGGCACU
rnacentral:rRNA from 1 species